rnacentral:rRNA from 1 species
UACAGAGGUCUCAAGCGUUGUUCGGAUUCAUUGGGCGUAAAGGGUGCGUAGGUGGCGUCGUAAGUCGGGUGUGAAAUUUCGGAGCUUAACUCCGAAACUGCAUUCGAUACUGCGGUGCUUGAGGACUGGAGAGGAGACUGGAAUUUACGGUGUAGCAGUGAAAUGCGUAGAGAUCGUAAGGAAGACCAGUGGCGAAGGCGGGUCUCUGACAGUUCCUGACACUGAGGCACGA